CUGUUAUAUUUAAAAAUGUAUUAAGGUACAUGCUAAAAAUUUGAACAGUUCAAAAGGCAUGGAGUGAAAAGAAAGUCUGUCUUCUGUCCUGGAUUCCAAUUUCCCACUCUUCCUGCACCAAAAGCAUCUUCUGUUACCGGUUUCUCAUCCCCUGCCCUUCACUGAGAGGGAGCCCAGGUGAUGGCAGCCAUGCCCCUGAACGCCUGGCACCAGGGUACCCAGUUUGCAGACUUGCCCUGAUCUCACUUCUGGAAGGAGGGGAUUUGCCUUGAGGCCUGGUGCCACAGGCCAAUCCACCUGCAGAGAGUACCAGUGAUGUCUCUAAAGGUAGG
rnacentral:lncRNA from 1 species